AGUGAACGCUGGCGGCAGGCCUAACACAUGCAAGUCGAGCGGCAGCGCGUCCGACCACCCUCGGGUGGCCGGAUGGCGGCGAGCGGCGGACGGGUGAGGAAUGCAUCGGAAUCUGCCUCGUUGUGGGGGAUAACGUAGGGAAACUUACGCUAAUACCGCAUACGACCUACGGGUGAAAGUGGGGGACCGUUCGGGCCUCACGCGAUGAGAUGAGCCGAUGCCGGAUUAGCUAGUUGGCGGGGUAAAGGCCCACCAAGGCGACGAUCCGUAGCUGGUCUGAGAGGAUGAUCAGCCACACUGGAACUGAGACACGGUCCAGACUCCUACGGGAGGCAGCAGUGGGGGAAUAUUGGACAAUGGGGGCGAACCCUGAUCCAGCCAUGCCGCGUGUGUGAAGAAGGCC
rnacentral:rRNA from 1 species